UCCUGGGUGGCCCAAUCAGAAGAGCGUGUGACUCUUGAUCUUGAGGUUGUGGGUUCAAAUCCUACUUUGGGCA
rnacentral:tRNA from 1 species